CCUGGCGGCGAGAGCGCGGUGGUCCCACCUGACCCCAUGCCGAACUCAGAAGUGAAACGCCGCAGCGCCGAUGGUAGUGUGGGGCCUCCCCAUGCGAGAGUAGGGAACUGCCAGGC
rnacentral:rRNA from 8 species